UUAUGGUCAUGUCAGGUUGAAAAACCAGUUCUCGUACGAUCACCAAAAUUAAGCAACACUGAGCCUGGUCAGUACCUCAAUGGUUGACUGCUUGGGAAUAGUAGGUGCUGUAGG